AUGCUGUUUUAUUCGGGGAUAAAGCCUUGGAUGUUAUUUAAUUAGCCCCGAAUAUGAUCUUUGAAAAAAAUCAUAAACAUUUAUAAGUAGCCUAGUCUAGAUAUACAUAGUCCUUCUGGCAAGAGAAUAAACAACAACCUGUUUACCACCUCAAGUGUAUUAACCUAUCCUAUCCCCAGUCAGAUCUGUGCGUGUGUGUGUGUGUGUGUGUGUGUGUGUGUGUGUGUGUGUGUGUGUGUGUGUGUGUGUGUGUGUGUGUGUGUGUGUGUGUGUGUGUGUGUGUGUGUGUGUGUGUGUGUGUGUGUGUAAGAUCUGCCUCACUUGUAUUCAUUUGCAAUAACUUGAAUGGGACUUUAGACAUUUGGGGAUAGCAUAGCAGUCAGGUAACUAUUCAAAGCUAUAAUAAACCGCAUAUUUCGUUUAUUUAGAUAAAGCAUUAUGAAAAAGUUUGCAUGCACAAUAAAGCAUACACAUAAAUUUGGCGCGCAGCAUUUUCAUUUUCACUCUGGGUUAAGCCCUAAGUGUAUCUUUUGUGUGUGUGUGUGUGUGUGUGUGUGUGUGUGUGUGUGUGUGUGUGGGGGGGGGGGUGGUAUCUAGAUUGUAUCUAUGUUAAGUUAAUCUUUGGUGUGUGUCUAUUUGGUGUGUUUAUCUUUAUGGUGUGUAUCUAUAUGGUGUGUAACUAUGGUGUGUGCGUAUCUAUAUGGUGUAUACCUAUGGUGUGUGCGUGUUGUGGCAUCCUGCCACUUAAAUCUCGGCCCGGGCGGGUCUGAGGUGGGGUGAUUGACGGCGUAUACCGCCGCCACCCACUGAGUGGCGACGAAGAGCAUCACUCUCUCCCCAAUCAGCGAGAUUGGGGGACACCUGGCGGGAGGCAGAGGAGCCAUUUUAAAAGGAGCAGGAGGACUGACAUUCGGCAGAAGACCAGGAGCGAGAGGCAGCUGAGAAGCAUCUGGUGCGUUUCACUUAAAAGGGAACUGGUUAAAGACUUUUUGAAGUAAAGAAGAGCAUCUCAUCUGAACCUGAUGUCUAUCAUGGAUAUUUAACUGCAGUUCUGUGAGUAUCCCAACUUAACCAUGAAGCAUAACUGCAAACUGUAAGUCAUUCAUUUCUCAUUACUCUUGGGCACAUUGUAUUUUGGCUUCCUGGUGAGUUAACCUGUUACUUGAGUAUUAAGGAUGUUUUAUUGGUUCAUGGUUUACUUGGAUGUUUGGUUUAUGUUGGUUUUAAUGAUUUGUUAAAAUGGUUACAGGCUCCAAGUUAUUGUUGUAAGCUGGAGUAAUAGGUUGGGUUCUGAUAUCUUCAGUCUUCUUUCAUUCUACUCUCCUGAGCUCUGCAUCUUCUUCACGUGAGUCUUGCUUUACUAAUGAGGGUGUGGUCUGAGUGAGCAGAGGUGCAUACUGGGAUACAGAGAUGUCUGAAGUCUACAGGUCUGUAGACACGCCCCCUCAGGGGAAACCGAGUGUUUGAGAAACUGUCGUGACGUCAGUUACAUGGACUGGAAUGUUCUUAAAGAUGGAGACAGGGAUUCAGAAGGAGAAACACCAGGGGAAGAUGAGGGGGCUCCUCAUCUCAACGACUGAAACACAACUUCAGUCUGACACAACCAUGGAACACAUUUAACAGUCCCCUCCAGGCAUCGUGACUCCUCAGGAACAGUUUCAUUUCCAAGAAGGUCUUAAUCUGGGGCCAUCCCCAGAUGGAUCCUGCUCCUCAAGAGCCACCCCCCUCCACUGGGUGGUCUUCUGAACAGAUGACCUCCUUCCUGUCCUCAGGCUGACUAAAGCUGCACCGUUUGCAUUCAGGAAACCACUGGACUACAAAGACAUGACUUCAGAGACGUUGAAUCAACCUCGGACACAUUUUUGGAGACGCCAAGCAUAAUCCAUCACCAAUGUGGGACGCCACUGAAGAAUGUUGUACAUAAUUUACGUCUCUGGAGACAUUGGUUGUUCUGUUAUGGGUGCCCUGGCAGGAGAGCUGGGGGGGCGGGGGGGGUGAUGGAAUGUUAUUUGGCAUGAGGUUUUUACCCUGCAUGAUUGUUUGGCCUUUUAUGGCUCAGUGGUGUGUGUGUGUGUGUGUGUGUGUUUGGGUUUGACAUGAGAUGGAAGAUUUUUGAGUAUCGCUAGGGUUCUGUGUGUGCGUUUCCCACUCACACCUGGCAUGGGGUCUGUGUGUGUGUCCGCCUUGCUUUGACAGUGAUAAUGUUCAUACGGGGGUCUGCGUGAUUGGCUUGGGAUAUUGGAAUGGUCAACUAAAUCAUACCUGAUGGACGGCCACACGUUUACUUAAGGGCCUCCAGUAGACAUGAAGAGCCCUGAGCGACGCUCCGGAGCGAUAUCAACACACUGGGCAGGAAGGAGAGUACCCAACUCGAGUGUAAAAGGAUGCAAGUGGUGUGUUCAGAUCAGUGACUUCAAACUAGGACUACACCAAUCAGGAUCAAUGGAGGAUGGACACCAAAAGGAAUUCCACAAGGAGUCUGAUGUUGGAAAGGGACCUAAAUGGAUAUUCAAGAUGACCUUCAGACCUGUAAUGAGACGGCUCUUCCUACCUGGCUGGAUUGAUGGAGAGCCCUGUGGAUCUUGUCUUGCUCUCAGUUGCACGUCUUCUCAGGCUGAACUGUAUUUGUUUCGGACAGGCCUAGCUGAACGAUUGGUUCCCUUAAAUCAGAACCAAUCCGGGAACUCCAGCUAGUGCGCUCUUCGAGCUGAAGUGUUGCUCUUCAGCUGAGGAGGUAAGGGAACCUUCACUGGGGCUUCAAGAUGUAAAGAGGAGAAUGUUUCAAAGUGUUCCAUGGUACUCUGAUGAAGACCGUUGUUGUGUUCUACUGGCUGAGAGGAAGAACCCACACAUCUUCCUCUUGGCCUUUCUCCUCUGAGAAUCCUGGCGCCAUCUUGAAGGAUAUUCCAUUUCAUGUAACUGAUGUCACGACAGAUUCUCAAACACUUGGUUUCUCCUGAGGGGCGUUUCUAUAGAACUGAAGACUUCAGACAGCACUGUAUCCCAGCAUGCAUCUCUGCUCACUCAGACCACACCCCAUGAGUAGGAUGCAACACUCUAGUGAUGGCGAUGUAGAGUUUUAUAAGUAACGUGGGAGCAGACUAAGGGGAUUAGAACACAAUGGAAUGUCAAGUCUGUAAAUCUUUAAACCAUGAAGAUGGUUGGAUAGUUCAGGAAUUGGGCUUAUUUUUAAUAUGGGCAGUCUUUUCACUCGGAUGCUCACUUCUCACUGGAGCUGUACAUGUGUUGGCUGGCUGGCAUGAUUUGCUGUUGGUGAUGAGGCGGUCAGGGUGACGUUGCAGGGCUAUGGUUGGCUCUCGGUGAGCUCAACGUUUAGAUUUGCUCUGUAUGGUUUGUACCCUGAAUAAUCUAGAUAAUUGUAAAAUGUAGACACGGUUUUGUAUUGAAUGAUUCCAGGAUUUUAGGUUUAAAGUUGUUGUACAUGGUAAUUUGCUUCUUCGUAUGGUUUUGAGUGAUAUAACUUGUACACACUGGGUGCAUAGUAGUAGUAAUGACCAACAGCAACAAACAGAUCUCCUCAAGGUAAGUCUGUUGGCUGUGUUUUUAAUGAAGACCAUCGCUGGACAUCAGGAUCUUCCUCCGUUCAGCUCAAGGUGAGGCGCUGGUUAUGUUUUUUCUUUGGUUGGUUCCGGCCGGAAUGUUAGGAUUCCAGUCGGACGGUAUGUGCUUCCUGCCGUGGAAGGUUCUGAGUGCGGUCACUUGAUUUAGUCCCAAUGGUUAGCAUAGAACGUUGUAGUCUUGACAACCAUAAGAAACCACCUGGCAGUUAGUUGGACGGGUGUCCCCUAAGGGAAUCUGGCGGAACGUUCUCGCUUGUAUUUGCGUAACCUCGUGCCGUUGCCAACGGAAACUAUUUCAGUCGGUUUCCAUGGGGAAUUGUUGCCCCUAUUUUAAACAACUUAAGUUUGAUAUUAAAUACAUACUGACACGUAUGUCGUACAAUAUGUUGAUAAUUUCCGAUGGUUGCGCAGUACUUUUACGUUGACGGGACUCGCGCUGCGUACAGAACGGCGUUCUACUUGCGGCCCCAUUGUUGACAUCAGUGAAGGCUGAAAAUCAUUUCAAGGUGGAAGACAUUUUGACAUUUCUUCAAGGAACCCAGCACCUGAAUAUGGCUGAGUAAAUUUGAUUUAAUAUCGAUACUGCUUAGUGUUCUUUGUUACUUCAGCUUUUGUACGUUCUAAAUAUCUGCUGUCAUUAAUUGCCACAGAAGUUAAACCCUACCCAAUAGAAGGACGUUAAACAACAACUUUGGUGCAGAGUUAGCAACUGGAUAAUAUCAAAGCUAAAAUAAUGGCCGUCAUUCCCACAUGUUACAGUAGAAGAUACUCUAGUGCUGUACAAGGUUAAAAAGGUAACAUGUAGUUUGUCCCAAGGUGUCUGCCUCCUCACCCAGAGCAAGAGCUCCACCUCCUCACCCAGAGCCAGACCUCCACCUCCUGUCAGAAGUCCCCCAGAACAGCUGAAAGGUGAGGCCGUGAGGCUGGGGACCGGAGGCUUGUGGUGCCAGGGUGGACCGGAGACUGAGGCUGGAGACCAGCGGCCUGCAGCACCGGACCAUAGGACCAGGAAUCCAUGGCUGAAGGAGCUGAUGGAGGAGCCGUGCUGAAGGAGCUGAUGGAGGAGUCGUGCUGAAUGCCCUGCCUUGUAGAGCAGCUGCUGGAUGCCCUGCCUGGUGAAGGACGUCUGUUGUGGGGUAGAUGGAGCUUGACUCUGAAGUGAUCAUCACCCUCACUGCCACUUCUCGUAGAAUACUGUUACCACAAACUACCAGCGUUUGUACCAUAUAUACCAGACGACUACAUCUGUUUUACCACAUGUUGAAGCAAGACUUCCGCUGUUUGUUCCAGACCAGGACUCUGUCUGAGGAGAGCUGCUGGAGGAGCCGAGACGCUGGAGGACGACUAGGAAUCGACCAGCAAGGAU